rnacentral:rRNA from 1 species
GACGAACGCUGGCGGCGUGCCUAAUACAUGCAAGUCGAACGCUGAAGAGAGGAGCUUACUCUUCUUGGAUGAGUUGCGCACGGGUGAGUAACGCGUAGGUAACCUGCCUUGUAGCGGGGGAUAACUAUUGGAAACGAUAGCUAAUACCGCAUAACAAUGGAUGACACAUGUCAUUUAUUUGAAAGUGGCAAUUGCUCCACUACAAGAUGGACCUGCGUUGUAUUAGCUAGUAGGUGAGGUAAUGGCUCACCUAGGCGACGAUACAUAGCCGACCUGAGAGGGUGAUCGGCCACACUGGGACUGAGACACGGCCCAGACGCAUACGGGAGGCAGCAGUAGGGAAUCGUCGGCAAUGGGGGCAACCCUGACCGAGCAACGCCGAGUGAGUGAAGAAGGUUGUCGGAUCGUAAAGCUCGGUUGUAAGUCAAGAACGGGUGUGAGAGUGGAAAGUUCACACUGUGACGGUAGCUGAACAGAAAGGGACGGCUAACUACGUG